GACGAACGCUGGCGGCGUGCUUAUCACAUGCAAGUCGAACGGUGAAGCACCUUCCUUUUGGUGGGUGUGGAUGAGUGGCGAACGGGUGAGUAACACGUGAGUAACCUGCCCCCUUCUUCUGGAUAACCGCAUGAAAGUGUGGCUAAUACGGGAUAUUCUGGGUCUGUCGCAUGGCGGGCCUGGGAAAGAUAUUGUUUCGGUGGGGGAUGGGCUCGCGGUCUAUCAGCUUGUUGGUGGGGUGAUGGCCUACCAAGGCGGUGACGGGUAGCCGGCCUGAGAGGGUGGACGGUCACACUGGGACUGAGACACGGCCCAGACUCCUACGGGAGGCAGCAGUGGGGAAUAUUGCACAAUGGGCGCAAGCCUGAUGCAGCGACGCCGCGUGAGGGAUGGAGGCCUUCGGGUUGUAAACCUCUUUCGCCAGUGAAGCAGGCCUGUCCCUUUUGUGGGUGGGUUGACGGUAGCUGGAUAAGAAGCGCCGGCUAACUACGUG
rnacentral:rRNA from 1 species